GUCUCCACGCAUAGGAGAUGACGCCAAGGCAUAGGAGAUGACUGCCUGGAACCAAGGAGUGAGUCUGACAAGUCUGACAGCCUUGAGCUGGGACUGAAGGAGCAGCAGAGCUCACAAUCUGGGAGGCUGCCUGGAGGAGGAACAGUCCCUUAUAUGGACAGAUCACCGUGUGUCUACCCACCAAUAACGAAGCAUCUGAGUCUACCUGGUCUUUGAUGAGCCUGAAGAAGGCUAUUUUGGUGUGGACGAGGUUUCCAUCUCUUUUGAGUCCUUCUGUAACGUUGAAUAAUGUCCCACUGUCCUUUAGACCGUUGGGGCUCUGCACGCCAGUCAAAAACCUGGGCUAUCCACCACCAUUACUUAGUCCUCAGCUCUCCCAUGCUUCCUCACACAGCCACACGCAACCAAGAGGUUCUCCACCAGGUCCAAAUAGAAGCACUCCUGUUGCACCUUCUCUCUGUGUGUGCAGGUGCAUGCCCAGAGGCACACGCAGAGGCCACAGGAGAUGUUGGGUGUCCAAUCUCCCACUCUCCACCUUAUUUCUCUGAGGCAGGGUUUCUGGCUGAGCCUGCGCCUAGGCUGUCUGCCAGAACAGCCCAGCUAGUCUCCUGUCUACACUGACACAGCCCUGGGAUUGAUAUGGCUGAGCCUGGUUUUGUUUUGCUUGGGUACUAGGAAUUUGAAUGCAGGCCCUCAUGUGUGCACAGUGAAAGCUCUUACCUGCUGAGCCAUGCCCCCAGUCCUGUUGCAGCUUCUUCGUUCAGAAGGGACUCUAGCAUUGAACCUCACCAUGCAUCCUGGUCUGCCUGUUUCCGGUGGAGAAGUCAAGUGGGGGAAAGAGGCACAGCCAACCUCAUGCUGCGCAUGUACCAACCACAUGCCACACUGUGGCCUCUCUCUGAGUCUCAUUGAAAUGGGGAAGCAAGAAGGACCCCAAGGCAGCUGCCAAGAGAAAGGCACCGUAUCUGAUGACGAGCUUUGAUCUGGAGUAAAGGCUCUGAAGAAAUCGGGCUCCUGGCUGUGGUGGUUUGAAUGAAAUAUCCCCCCCUAGGCUCAGAUAUUAGGAUACCAGGUCCCAGUUGGCAGUGUUUGGGGAGGCUUAUGUGUGGCUUUGCUGGAGGGAGCAUGUCACUAGAAGCCUGUCUCCCUACACUCCACCAUCAUGGACUCUUUUUUUUAAUUAAUUAAAUGUAUGUGAGUACACUGCUGUUCUCUUCAGACAUGUCAGAAGAGAGCAUCGGAUCCCAUUACAGAUGGUUGUGAGCCACCAUGUGGUUGCUGGGGAUUGAACUCAGGUCCCCUGGAAGAGCAGUCAGUGUGCUCUUAACCACAGUGCCAUCUCUCCAACCCCAUCAUGGACUCUUAACCCUCUGGAACCAUAGAUUAAAAUAAAUUCUUCCUUCUA